AUACCAUGGUGAGGGCAUCUUCUCAAUAGAUUUUUAAACCGCUCACAAGCUUCAUACAGAGAUUCACCAUCAUUCUAGCAAAAGUUAAUGAUUUCUCCCCUCAGUUU